UUUUCCUCUACCCGCCGCUCUUGAAUUCCAUUCCUCUCCCAUUCUCUCUGCAAACCCUAGUCGUCUCCAUCAAAGAUAACCCUAAUCACUUCGAUUCUCGCCAGCUUUCAUGGCUUCUCAGGCUGUGAAACCAUCAUACUCACCUCCUAUUGCUCUUGUGUGCUUGGUAUUCGAAGGAUUGAGGCUAGACCUCAAAGGUCUCCACCCAGAUCUUUGUCGACUUGAGGUUUCCGGCCAUCUUCGACCUGGAUCCAGCAUAUCUUAGCCUCAUGAACAUAUUUCCAAUCUUAUCCGACAUAGAUCGGACUUUUUCGAAGCCUUUCUCAUUCUACGGUUCACCUGAAACCUUAGCCGU
rnacentral:lncRNA from 1 species